UACGUAGGGUGCAAGCGUUGUCCGGAUUUAUUGGGCGUAAAGAGCUCGUAGGCGGUUUGUCGCGUCUGCUGUGAAAACCCGAGGCUCAACCUCGGGCCUGCAGUCGAUACGGGCAGACUAGAGUUCGGUAGGGGAGACUGGAAUUCCUGGUGUAGCGGUGAAAUGCGCAGAUAUCAGGAGGAACACCGGUGGCGAAGGCGGGUCUCUGGGCCGAAACUGACGCUGAGGAGCGAAAGCGUGGGGAGCGAACAGG
rnacentral:rRNA from 1 species